CUUCAUGGCGGCUGUACAUAGGGCACAUUCGUGUGCGCCGGGUUGCUUGGGUACCGGUCUGUCAACCUGUGUAUAGCUGCCUCCAUU
rnacentral:antisense_RNA from 3 species